UCGCCCCCACUUUUUUGGUCAUCUCGCCCCCUAAUUUGUUGUUUUAAUUUGAUGUAUUUUACAAGUUCAAAGUCAAGCCAUUUUUAGUUCCUUGCAUCUCAGUACUAUGUUAUUACUUUGUUAUCACUAAAUAUUGAAAAUUUUCCUCGUAACUGCAUAUUUUCGAGGAUAUUUGCAUCUAAGUUUCCACCGGCUUACGUAGUACUAGUACUACCUCAUCGCUCGUUCUGACUCGACUGGCUUAGUUCUAGUGACGGAGCUUACGGAUGAAUGCUUGAAUUCAGAUGCAGUAGAUACAAUUUGCACUUAUAUGAAGGAAGCACUGGGAAAGUAAUCUACUUUUCAAGAAUGCCACAGGCCAGAAACAAAUCCAGAUUGGAUACAGGGACCGACAUGCUGGGAAGAUGGGUCCUUGAUAAUUCACUGAACACAGAGCUGCAGAUGUGACUUGGCAUAGUGACCUAAGAGUGGGAGCGGUAUGGAACCGUUGAAGCAAUUCACCGAACACUGUUGAAGCAAUUCACUGAACACAGUCAGAGCUGCAUGUGUGACUUGGCAUGGUGACCCUUAAAGUCUCCUGACGGCUCCGAUUGCGAUUCUGAUGAUGAACCAUUGUCUAUGCUUCUGAGCGAGUCAAAAGGUAUCUUCUUUCCUUCUUGAUUGUCUCCCAAUAGUUAAAAUUUAAGAUAUUCUUAAUUGUUUUUUAAUGCUUAGGUCCCUUAGUUAAGGGAAUGAGUGGCCCUAUCGAGGUCAGCAUCUAAGUUGUUUUUUUAA
rnacentral:lncRNA from 1 species